AUUGAACGCUGGCGGCAUGCCUUACACAUGCAAGUCGAACGGCAGCACGGGUGCUUGCACCUGGUGGCGAGUGGCGAACGGGUGAGUAAUACAUCGGAACAUGUCCUGUAGUGGGGGGUAGCCCGGCGAAAGCCGGAUUAAUACCGCCUACGAUCUACGGAUGAAAGCGGGGGACCUUCGGGCCUCGCGCUAUAGGGUUGGCCGAUGGCUGAUUAGCUAGUUGGUGGGGUAAAGGCCUACCAAGGCGACGAUCAGUAGCUGGUCUGAGAGGACGACCAGCCACACUGGGACUGAGACACGGCCCAGACUCCUACGGGAGGCAGCAGUGGGGAAUUUUGGACAAUGGGCGAAAGCCUGAUCCAGCAAUGCCGCGUGUGUGAAGAAGGCCUUCGGGUUGUAAAGCACUUUUGUCCGGAAAGAAAUCCUUGGCCCUAAUACGGUCGGGGGAUGACGGUACCGGAAGAAUAAGCACCGGCUAACUACGUG
rnacentral:rRNA from 1 species